AAUAUCAGUGAGAGUUAUCCUUUCUGAAUAUCAAAAUAUCAGGGAAGGAAGGUGGGAAAAGACGACUGGAGCCCAUGGGAAAUGCAAGUGAAAGAUUUAGCCAAUGAGCCAUUACCCCCAAGUCUGAAUAUGUGUUUCUUUUGUGCCACAAACUCAGCUUAGUUGCAGAGGGCUAAUAGGUAAUAGUCUAAGUCGUUUAGGUUCUGUCACAAACUCUUACAAAGUUUGUAUUGAAAGUCACCUUAACGUGUUUUCAAAUUAAACUAUUGUUUCAGUAUCCAUUGCCAUUCAACCAGAAUCACUCUCAGUGUCUUGCACUGCUGCUUGUCUCACUUGUUCUUCUGUUUUUUCUCUUGCUUAUACCCCAGACUUGGCCAUACCACAGAAGGUAUCCUCUCAGCUAUAACCCCAUUAUCUCAACUCUGAUUUUUUUUCUCUACCUGUGAUACACUGGUCAGAUUGAACAACAAACUUGUUCUGGUUGAUUUCUCUUAGUUAACAUUCUAUGACUACCAGCCUGAUGAGGAUUAUCCUAUUUCUUCGAUGCUUUGCCUGCUGACCAUCAAACCGAGAAAUGUUUUACCUAUCUAUUAACUCCAGUGACAAGCUGUUUAGGAAAAAUUUCCUCCCAAGGAAUUCCCAGGCAGAGAAGUCUAAAUUGCAGGCUCCCUGAAAACACACGCAUCUGCAUUUUGUCACCCCUUACUGCUGUCUGCCUAUGCUUAACAAGUUGUUUCUGUGACAUCUGCAGUCAAGUUGCUGAGUGCCAACCAGAGCACCAGCACCAACCAGGAGAGCAGCUGCCUGUCAGCCAUGAAAGCCAGAAGGCACCUUCCACCAGCAUCACAAAUCCUCUUCCACCCUCUUCGAGUCAGUGCUGAGAUAUCUUCCAAAUCCUGGGAUAAAUACUAACAGCUUCCUGUUAAUGUGCCUGGG